GACGAACGCUGGCGGCGUGCUUAACACAUGCAAGUCGAACGGAAAGGCCCUGCUUUUGUGGGGUGCUCGAGUGGCGAACGGGUGAGUAACACGUGAGUAACCUGCCCUUGACUUUGGGAUAACUUCAGGAAACUGGGGCUAAUACCGGAUAGGAGCUCCUGCUGCAUGGUGGGGGAUGGAAAGUUUCGGCGGUUGGGGAUGGACUCGCGGCUUAUCAGCUUGUUGGUGGGGUAGUGGCUUACCAAGGCUUUGACGGGUAGCCGGCCUGAGAGGGUGACCGGCCACAUUGGGACUGAGAUACGGCCCAGACUCCUACGGGAGGCAGCAGUGGGGAAUAUUGCGCAAUGGGCGGAAGCCUGAUGCAGCAACGCCGCGUGCGGGAUGACGGCCUUCGGGUUGUAAACCGCUUUCGCCUGUGACGAAGCGUGAGUGACGGUAAUGGGUAAAGAAGCACCGGCUAACUACGUG
rnacentral:rRNA from 1 species